GGAGAGGUAGCCAAGCCUGGUCAAAGGCGCUAGCUUCUGGAGCUUGUCUCUUAGUGAGUUCGCAGGUUCAAAUCCUGCCCUCUGCA
rnacentral:tRNA from 1 species